GAGUUUGAUCUUGGCUCAGAUUGAACGCUGGCGGCAGGCCUAACAUAUGCAAGUCGAGCGGAUGACGGGAGCUUGCUCCUUGAUUCAGCGGCGGACGGGUGAGUAAUGCCUGGGAAUCUGCCUGGUAGUGGGGGACAACGUUUCGAAAGGAACGCUAAUACCGCAUACGUCCUACGGGAGAAAGCAGGGGACCUUCGGGCCUUGCGCUAUCAGAUGAGCCUAGGUCGGAUUAGCUAGUUGGUGGGGUAAUGGCUCACCAAGGCGACGAUCCGUAACUGGUCUGAGAGGAUGAUCAGUCACACUGGAACUGAGACACGGUCCAGACUCCUACGGGAGGCAGCAGUGGGGAAUAUUGGACAAUGGGCGAAAGCCUGAUCCAGCCAUGCCGCGUGUGUGAAGAAGGUCUUCGGAUUGUAAAGCACUUUAAGUUGGGAGGAAGGGCAGUAAGUUAAUACCUUGCUGUUUUGACGUUACCGACAGAAUAAGCACCGGCUAACUCUGUGCCAGCCGCCG
rnacentral:rRNA from 1 species